CGGCAAUCCCACCAUAGACUAUGCCAUAGAACUGUAUCUACAUGUAUUAUAAUAUACGAUCUAUGAUCUCACAAAGGUCGAAGGGCAAUUAUACAAUCAAUGUAUAGGAAAAAUUUCAGCAUGGAGAAAGAAGUAGACGAAUGGGAAGAGAAAUACGAGGCACUGAAAGAAUUUGUGUUUGAGAAACUAGUCUCUUUUCAACAAAGAUUAAAUGUUGUUGAAAAUGAUUCAAAGGAUUUCAGAGGCAAAUUAAAAGAAUUACAAGAAGGGUUUAUUUCCAUAAAGGAAGGAACGGACGAGACCAGAAGUUUGGAAAAAAACAACGUAAAAAUGACGGAGAAGAAAAAAGAGGACAUGCAGGGGUCAACUAACAGCAAUCUACUUAAGAUCAAAACUCCCCAGAAAUCCUUAAAUAAAACAGAAACAGCUUCCUGUCAGGUGGAUAAUUCAGAUGAUGAAUAGAUGCCGUCAUCUCAAUCUACUCCUAUACCAGGGACUUCAGAAGGGAACCCGUUUUCUGUUACACCAUCAUCGUCGACAAAAAGGUUUACAAUACCCAAAUGUGUGAAAGAUGUUUCUGAUCUGGAACUGCGGAAAAAGCUAGAAGCGACAGAACAUCAAGUGAAAUAUGUCAGACACCGUGAAAAGCUGAGUUAUUGUCAACUGGUGUAUAUCUAUUAUUGGUUGGAUAAAAAUAAUGAAAAAGUAUCGGGACGAGCGGCGCAGACCCUAAGGCUCAUCAGAAAUGGGGAACGGGAUAUGAUGUGGACGAAGGCAUGGAAACCAUCCGGAAGUAGAUUAGACUUGUUUAAUUAUCUCCAGGAAAUCCUAAAGAAUAUGGCAGAAAAGAGGCGUUUGGAUAAUGAUAAAGAAUCUCUGAUUAUGGGUGAAAGAUAAAUCAGCGACAGUAACAAAUUCUUUGUAACUAUUCCCAUGCUUGUCUGGGUUUGAGCUUACCUUAUUGUAUUAUCAUAAAAGUUGGGUUAAUGUCAAAAGAAGCGUUCUAGUCUAUAUAUACAAGGAUACCGUAUACUUAGAAUGCUGGAUAUUUUGCAGUUUUAUUUUGAUGUUAUUUUGAUGUUAUUUUGAUUCUUGGGUGGGUGGGGGAUGAUUUACUGGUGUCGGUGUGGGUGUUUCCGAUUACCGAAUUUGGUAUUGUACUUUCUAAUAGCUGUAUUAUUAUCUGCUAGCAUCCUAUCAAUACGUCAUUACCGUG